UCGAGAAUUUUUCUCAAUGGGGGAAACCCUGAAGGAGCGACGCCGCGUGGAGGAUGAAGGUUUUCGGAUUGUAAACUCCUGUCAUGAGGGAGCAAUGCCGUUGGGAGUAACUGCCCGGCGGUUGAUAGUACCUCAAGAGGAAGGGACGGCUAACUCUGUGCCAGCAGCCGCGGUAAUACAGAGGUCCCAAGCGUUGUUCGGAUUCAUUGGGCGUAAAGGGUGCGUAGGCGGUAUUGCAAGUCGGAUGUGAAAUCCCGGGGCUCAACCCCGGAACUGCAUUCGAUACUGCGGUGCUAGAGGACUCUAGAGGAAACCGGAAUUCACGGUGUAGCAGUGAAAUGCGUAGAUAUCGUGAGGAAGACCAGUGGCGAAGGCGGGUUUCUGGAGAGUUCCUGACGCUGAGGCACGAAGGCCAGGGGAGCAAACG
rnacentral:rRNA from 1 species